rnacentral:lncRNA from 1 species
UCAUUGGUCAUUUUAUUAUUUUGAAAAUAUUACUCAUUUAAACAACUAAAAAAGGUUAAAGCUUGAUAUAAUCUUCAACACUGGAAAGGAUAAAUUAUUGAAAAAUAUGUAGAACAAAAAUUCCAUCUCAAUGCCAUUGAUAUCACUAUACUGUUGAACAAGUAUGAGGUAUUGAACAUUGCACAUAAUUAUACACUUAGGAUUUGACAUUGUAGCUAAACCAGUUGUUCAAGGCCACUAAAAUACUGAAGAGGAUUAAAAUUAUUAACAGUGCAGAGGAAAACAGAACUAUAAAAUCCCUUGUAACUCAAAGCUGGAAAUGGUGCUUUCACUCAAAAGAAUGUCACAAUUACCAAGAAUUUUCAGUAAUUCACGACACAAAACAAGACAGCCACCUCUAAUUUUUAACUUUUCUAUCAAAAUGAAUCCCGUGGUGAUAUAGUACAUAUUUUGGACCUGCAUGACAGUGAUUUUUAUAAUUGUUAUGUUUCAGAACUUACCCCUUAAAGAUUUCACAUACGUGUGAUAUGUACUAGUUAAAUUUCAUCACUUCAGAUAGAUGGGAUGACUUUUAGACUUUAUAUUAAGCAUUAGUAUGUCUUAGUAACAACAGAUAGAGUAUUUAAAAUUCAUAUAUUAAUUGAAGUGCUGAAAAAAUAGAUAUGAGUAAUAGCAAUUAAUUGCUAAAAAGAUAAAAUUCAAGUUUAGAUGAUACUUG